rnacentral:rRNA from 1 species
UACGGAGGGUGCGAGCGUUAAUCGGAAUUACUGGGCGUAAAGCGCACGCAGGCGGUUUGUUAAGCUAGAUGUGAAAGCCCCGGGCUCAACCUGGGAUGGUCAUUUAGAACUGGCAGACUAGAGUCUUGGAGAGGGGAGUGGAAUUCCAGGUGUGGCGGUGAAAUGCGUAGAUAUCUGGAGGAACAUCAGUGGCGAAGGCGACUCCCUGGCCAAAGACUGACGCUCAUGUGCGAAAGUGUGGGUAGCGAACAGG